AAACCAACCGGGAUUGCCUCAGUAACGGCGAGUGAAGCGGCAAAAGCUCAAAUUUGAAAUCUGGCCCUGUGGUCCGAAUUGUAAUUUGAAGAAGCGACUUUGGGCCUGGCUCUUGUCUAUGUUCCUUGGAACAGGACGUCACAGAGGGUGAGAAUCCCGUGCGAUGAGAAGACCAGGUUCGUGUAAAGCGUUUUCGACGAGUCGAGUUGUUUGGGAAUGCAGCUCUAAGUGGGUGGUAAAUUCCAUCUAAAGCUAAAUAUUGGCGAGAGACCGAUAGCGAACAAGUACAGUGAUGGAAAGAUGAAAAGAACUUUGAAAAGAGAGUGAAAAAGUACGUGAAAUUGUUGAAAGGGAAGGGCUUGAGAUCAGACUUUGUUUUUCCAUGGCGCUCUUUCGGGGGUGUCCUCUGGGGCUACAGGGCCAGCAUGGGUUUUGCGGGCGAGACGAGGUUUCCGGGAAUGUGGCUCUGCUUCGGUGGAGUGUUAUAGCCCGGGGGACUGGUCGCCAUGCGGGACCGAGGACUGCGGUACUAGGAUGCUGGCAUAAU
rnacentral:rRNA from 1 species